rnacentral:lncRNA from 1 species
GUAGCUGCCCCCACUCCGCAUCCCUGGGCUCGGGUUUGCCUUGCUGACCUCUGCUGCCACCUGGUGCCACACAGAGAAACUGAGGAGAAACCACAUCAGUCUCCUUCAGCCUCAGCUUCACAUCUGUGGGUCAAGUAACCCUUUCAGAAGCUGAAUAAUGUGGGAAAGCUUUCCUCUCAGGAAAAUGCACACAUCCAACUUUGAGAAGAUGCCCUUGGGGGUGCUUCAAGGAUCCUAGAUAAAGAACCCCCUUUCCCGAACAUCCAAGAACCUAAGUUUUUUUUUUUUUUUUUGAGAAAGUCUCGCUCUCUCUCCCAGUCUGGAGUGCAGUGGCGUGAUCUUGGCUCACUGCAAGCUCCACCUCCCAGGUUCACGCCAUUCUCCUGCCUCAGCCUCCCGAGUAGCUGGGGCUACAGGCACCUGCCACCAAACCCGGCUAAUUUUUUUGUAUUUUUAGUAGAGACGGGGUUUCACCGUGUUAGCCAGGAUCGUCUUGAUCUCCUGACCUUGUGAUCCACCCGCCUCGGCCUCCCAAAUUGCUGGGAUUACAGAUGUGAGCCACCGCACCUGGUCCAAGAACCCAAGUUUUAGAUCUAGAGUGAUGUCAGCAUGACAUUGAUUUCCUGAGGCCCAGGGGCGAAGGAGCUGAGGACAGCAGAGGGGUGAAGGAACUCAGCUACAGACAGCAGCAGCUGAUGCACAGGGCUCCCAGCGCCUGAAGUCACCCGGAAUUGGGAAGUGCUCAGAAGCUUACAAAGCUGCCUCGAGGAACAGUAAGAGGACCUUGUGCAUGAAUAAUUUGUUUCCACACUGCAGACAGAAGAAUCCCAGACUUCUUAGAGAACCCAGUGACUUUUUGCACCUUAAAUCUGUGAAAUCCUCAUGCUUUCUUCUGCCGUAUCCAUCGUUCAAACAAACAUGAGGCAAAGCUAGACACAUUCCUGAAGGAACCCAAGAAAUUCCUCUCUUUCUCUCUCUGGAAUGAAAUGAAUUCUCUAGACCACCAGUUCUAACCUUCAAAAACCAAACCUGUUUGUGAGAUCUCCUUCAAAUACUACUGUAGACCCCAGUGUUUAUUCAUUAAAUUUUUUAAAUAUUUGUUUUAUUUGGAAUCAAAGUAUUUGUAAUUUUAGUAUUUGUAUUAAUAUAAGGGAGAAAUGUUUAAAUCUGUCUAUGCCACAUGUGCCUUCGGCUUAUUGCCCAAUUAAUUGUAGCCUCAGGCUAAACUUUGGUUUCUGUCUUUAAUUUUUGUCGGAAGAAAUAUAACUGGUCUCAAAACAUCUGCUUUUAUUGUAGGGACUCGUGCUGCC